rnacentral:tRNA from 1 species
AUUUAUAUAGUUUAAUAAAACAUUACAUUUUCAUUGUAAAGAUAAAAAAUAUUUUUUAUAAAUA